ACCUACGGGGGGCAGCAGUGGGGAAUAUUGCACAAUGGGGGAAACCCUGAUGCAGCGACGCCGCGUGAGUGAAGAAGUAUUUCGGUAUGUAAAGCUCUGUCAGCAGGGAAGAAAAUGACGGUACCUGACCAAGAAGCCCCGGCUAACUACGUGCCAGCAGCCGCGGUAAUACGUAGGGGGCAAGCGUUAUCCGGAUUUACUGGGUGUAAAGGGCGUGUAGGCGGGAGCGCAAGUCAGAUGUGAAAACUCAGGGCUCAACCCUGAGCCUGCAUUUGAAACUGUGUUUCUUGAGUGCUGGAGAGGCA
rnacentral:rRNA from 1 species